rnacentral:rRNA from 1 species
AUUGAACGCUGGCGGCAUGCCUUACACAUGCAAGUCGAACGGCAGCACGGGUGCUUGCACCUGGUGGCGAGUGGCGAACGGGUGAGUAAUACAUCGGAACGUACCUUAUCGUGGGGGAUAACGCAGCGAAAGCUGUGCUAAUACCGCAUACGCCCUGAGGGGGAAAGCGGGGGAUCGCAAGACCUCGCGCGAUUAGAGCGGCCGAUGCCCGAUUAGCUUGUUGGUGGGGUAAAAGCCCACCAAGGCGACGAUCAGUAGCUGGUCGGAGAGGACAAUCAGCCACACGGGGACUGGGAAACGGCCCAGACUCCUACGGGAGGCAGCAGUGGGGAAUUUUGGACAAUGGGGGCAACCCUGAUCCAGCAAUGCCGCGUGAGUGAAGAAGGCCUUCGGGUUGUAAAGCUCUUUUGUCAGGGAAGAAACACCGGCUCUAACACAGUCCGGGAAUGACGGUACCUGAAGAAUAAGCACCGGCUAACUACGUGCCAGCAGCCGCCGCAG